AAAAAUUUAAUUUAAAAUAUUUAAGUAGUAUUAGUUAAGAUCUUUAAAUUUAAAAAAUUUGGCGGUAUUUUAGUCUAUUCAGAGGAACCUGUUUUUUAAUCGAUAAUCCACGAUGGAUCUUACUUAAAUUUAUUUUAGUUUAUAUAUCGUCGUUAAAAGAAUAUUUUAUAAGAAUAAUAAUUUUCUUAAUUUUUAAUUUUAAAAUAUAUCAGAUCAAGAUGUAGCAUAUGUUUAAGUUUAUAAUGGGUUACAUUUAUUGUAAUAUUGGAAAUUAAUAUGAAAUUUGUUAUUUGAAAUUGGAUUUGAUAGUAAAUUUAUAUAGAUUAGUGAAUUGAUUAUAGCUCUAAAAUAUG
rnacentral:rRNA from 1 species